CCGUGAUUCCGGGAGUAGUGGCGAGCGAAACCGGAUGAGGCCAAACCGUAUGCGUGUGAGACCCGGCAGGGGUUGCGCAUGCGGGGUUGUGGGAUCUCUCUUCUGUCGUCUGCCGGCGACAGGACGAGUCAGAAACCGUAUGGAUAGGCGAAGGACAUGCGAAAGGUCCGGCGUAGAGGGUAAGACCCCCGUAGCUGAAAUUCAUGCGGCUCGUUGGAGAGACACCCAAGUAGCACGGGGCCCGAGAAAUCCCGUGUGAAUCUGGCGGGACCACCCGCUAAGCCUAAAUAUUCCCUGGUGACCGAUAGCGGAUAG
rnacentral:ncRNA from 2 species